rnacentral:rRNA from 1 species
UACGUAGGGUGCAAGCGUUACUCGGAAUUACUGGGCGUAAAGCGUGCGCAGGCGGCUUUGCAAGUCAGAUGUGAAAUCCCCGGGCUUAACCUGGGAACUGCAUUUGUGACUGCAUGGCUAGAGUGCGGCAGAGGGGGAUGGAAUUCCGCGUGUAGCAGUGAAAUGCGUAGAUAUGCGGAGGAACACCGAUGGCGAAGGCAAUCCCCUGGGCCUGCACUGACGCUCAUGCACGAAAGCGUGGGGAGCAAACAGG